CCUACGGGGUGCAGCAGUGGGGGAUAUUGCACAAUGGGGGAAACCCUGAUGCAGCGACGCCGCGUGUGGGAAGACGGUCUUCUGGAUUGUAAACCACUGUCCCCAGGGACGAAAAUGACGGUACCUGGGGAGGAAGCUCCGGCUAACUACGUGCCAGCAGCCGCGGUAAUACGUAGGGAGCAAGCGUUGUCCGGAAUUACUGGGGGUAAAGGGAGCGUAGGCGGGGAUGCAAGUUGGGUGUCAAAACUACCGGCUCAACCGAUAGUCGCACUCAAAACUGCAGCUCUUGAGUGAAGUAGAGGCAGGCGGAAUUCCUAGUGUAGCGGUGAAAUGCGUAGAUAUUAGGAGGAACACCAGUGGCGAAGGCGGCCUGCUGGGCUUUUACUGACGCUGAGGCUCGAAAGUGUGGGGAGCAAACAGGAUUAGAUACCCUGGUAGUC
rnacentral:rRNA from 1 species